rnacentral:sRNA from 1 species
UAAUUAUGUUUUGUUAAUUGUUAAUUAUUUUUAAUACCCAACAAAGAUCAUUUCUCUUAUAUGGAUAUAUGCAAUGACAGAAGAUUUAAAAGUAUUUACUUAAAUGAUACUUUCAUUUUUGUUUUAUUUUUAGUUUUUCAUAUGAAUACUCUUGAAAUCUUGUUGAGUUUAUAUCAAUUCUAUAUAUUUAAUCAUGAGCCUAUAACAAUGUUGUUGGAGUAUUAUAUCAGAAGAAUACAUAAAACCGGAAAUAGUUUAUUUAUAAUCAAGUUAGACAAUUUUCAAUUCAUUCAAGACACGAUCAUUUUUCUAAUAUUAUGAAUUCAAACCAAAGUGAUUCACACUUUUCUUUCACAAUUUAUGCCGGAUCUAGUACCCAUAAAACAUAAAGUUAAAUC